GGCCGGGUUUCAAAACUAUGAGGUCAAAUUUUCUUAUAUUCGUCACUUUUUGUCAAUUCGAUCCAAUUGGACUGAACAAUGUAGUAUCCUUGAAGCACUUGGUCAUACUUUGUUUACAAAUAAGUCUAAUUAGUCUGAAUUGACGAAAUGUGACGACUACAAGGUGAUAUUGAUGAAAUUUUAUUCUUUGGAGCUUGUUUGCC
rnacentral:pre_miRNA from 1 species